GAUAAAAAUAAAUAAAUAAAAAAAGAUACAUGGAAGAUUAUGUUUAUCUUAUUCCACAAGUUUCCUUAAUUCCUUUUAUCAAAGAGAAAUAUGAAACGUCUUCUCUGUAUAUGAAUUACCGUAUUUUUCACUUGGUUCUGUUCCUGCUAUCUGUCUUCUACUGUGAUAAAAAUCCAUCUCCAAGUUGAAAAUUCUCCCAUCUUCCAUCUUCACAAUCGAAUCGAUUUUUCAACUUGAGGAUUACAAGGAAUGGACAGAUUUAUUAUCAGAAAAUCAUCAAAUGCGAAUGAAGAGGCAAGUCAAAGAGAAAAAACUCCUCAAGAACAAGUUCCGGCAACUGCUUCAAAGAAACCUCGAGUUGAAAUCAAUUUAGAUGAUCUCCCAUCAGACCCUGGUUUGAGGAAAAAAAAUUCAUCUUAUGAUCCGAAUGAUCGAGAAAAAGUAAGAAGAGCUUACUUGCAGAAAGGGCCCUGUCAACCUCGCAAUCAUAAUUUUCCACAAAGAAUGAUUGGGGCCUGGCUCCGCCCCUGG